AUGAUUCUUACUUUGGGUGGAAACACUCAGCCCAUCCUGACAGUCCUGCCCCCCUCCAGUGAGGAGCUGCAGCAGGGGAAGGCCACACUCAUGUGCCUGGCCAAUAAGGGUUUCCCCUCAGACUGGAAGCUGAGCUGGGAGGUGGAUGGUAGCAGCAGGAGUUCCCUGGGGUCCUGCUGAAGGACGGCACCUACAGCUGGACCAGCACCCUGACCCUCAGCGCUGACCAGUGGAGGAAGGCAGGGUCAGUGACCUGCCAGGCCACCCAGAGCUCUCAGAGUCCAGUCAGCAAGACACUGAAGACAGACCAGUGCUCUGAGGAGUGA